GGGCCCGUAGCGCAGUUGGAAAGCGCGGCGGCCUUCGGAGCCGUCGGUCGCGGGUUCGAGUCCCGCCGGGCCCGCCA
rnacentral:tRNA from 1 species